UACCACAUCCAAGGAAGGCAGCAGGCACGCAAAUUACCCAAUCCCAGCUCUGGGAGGUAGUGACGAAAAAUAACAAUGCGGGACUCUUCCGAGUCUGCGUAAUUGGAAUGAGCACACUUUAAAUCCUUUAGCAACAACCAAUUGGAGGGCAAGUCUGGUGCCAGCAGCCGCGGUAAUUCCAGCUCCAAUAGCGUAUAUUAAAGUUGUUGCGGUUAAAAAGCUCGUAGUUCGAGCUCAGUUCCGGACUGGCUGGGGAGGUCACCGCCCGGUGCUUGCCCGUCAGGCUCCGAACAGCUUCCGUGAGUGGAAGCCAAGCCGGUUCUGCCGGGGUGCUCUUCACCGAGUGUCCCGUGCGGCCGGCCAGUUCACCUUGAAUAAAUGAGAGUGCUCAAAGCAGGCUACUCUCGAAUACAAUGCCCGAAUGUUACCUGCAUGGAAUGAUGGAAGAUGAUCUCGGUUCCAUUUUCUUGGUGGUGGGAGCCAGAGGUAAUGAUAAAGAGGGACUGUCGGGGGCAUCCGUACUACGACGCGAGAGGUGAAAU
rnacentral:rRNA from 2 species